AAUGUCGACAAUCCUUAUUGUUUCUAUGUAAGUUUGUAAUAAGAUCUCUUUACAUCCAAUGGGUGGCAUCUUUAGAGUCGCUGAAUUCCAAAAUGCACAGAGAUGAAGAGAGAUAAUAAAAGAAAAUUCUAAAUCUGAAGGGAUAAAUUGGGAUCGAGAGAUGAACCCGAGGAGACUAUAUAAAUCUUCUACACCGCAAUAAAUAACCGCCCAACACAACUGUUCUGUCGCUGGCGGCGCCAUCUCUCUUGCUUCAUUGCUUCGAACUCUCGUAGCCCAAUUAAAUAGAUAUGUGAGCAUAUAACUGAAGAGGAAGACAAACAAUCAAUAGUCAUAAUCAAGCAAUAACCAUUACAUAGAGAGAGAGAGAGAGUGAACAGACGAUUUGUGUCAAAGAAAACGGAGGACGUGGAUCGACAAAUUCAUCAGGCAUAAGUAAUUAAGUACCAAUUUUUCAAUUAUUUUCCCAGUGGGACCUACAUGAUGACGUGAAUAGACUUAGAAGAAAGCACUUUUAUUAUAAUAUUUUUUUGUCAGCAAUAUUUCAGUGAAACUAGCCCAAUGGACUGUUUUACAAGGUUUGGCUUAUUACAAACGGGUCAAAUAACAUAAACAAGAGAAGUCCUACAUAUAUAAGAUCAUCAUUAUAGGUGGGACUUAUUUUAGGGCCCUUAACUAUUAUUUAUUAUUAUUUUUUGCUUAGGGACUAAAGUAAGGGAUUUGGCUAAAUUAGUUGAUUAUUGGUGGGACUUAUGUUGUCCCUUAGUUAAUUUAAUUUAUUAUUUUAAUUAAUAAAUAAUGACAUAUAUAAUAUUUAAAUAAAACAUUAAAAAUAAAAAUGUAAUAUUAAAAUUGAAAACAUAAGAAAAGUACAUUUUUGAAAGAAAAUACAAACAUCAUAAUAAAGAAAAUAGAAAACAUAAGAAAAUGACAUUAUUGAAAGAAAAUACAAAUUAUAUAUUAUUUCAAGGAUUUCCAAAUUUAGUCCAUAUAUUUUCAAUCAAAUCAUUUUUUAAAUAUUGAUGGACUUGUCUAUUCCGAACGCUCGUUCGACGUUCAAGUGUACUCCCGACAGUUGAAGGCAUAUUGACGGAAAAUGUUUCCACAUCUUCUUCUUCAAAUUCCUCAACGUUGUAAUUCGUUCUUGAUGCUCGUUCAUCUUCGACAAUCAUAUUAUGGAGUAUGAUACAUGCUCUCAUAAUAUUUCCUAUUUUUUCUUUAUCCCAUAUAUUAGAAGGAUUUCUAACAACGGCAAACCUAGCUUGUAGGACUCCGAAGGCACGCUCGACAUCUUUUCGCACAGCUUCUUGGGUUUGAGCAAACAAUGAAUGCUUCUGAGUUUGUGGUAGUCGGAUAGAUUGAAUAAAUGUAGCCCAUUUCGGAUAAAUACCAUCGGUGAGAUAAUAUGCAUAAUGGUAUGGAUUACCAUUAACAUAGAAGUUAACUUGUGGCGCUAUUCCGUUAAUAAUGUCAUCAAAAACGGGUGAUCGGUCAAGAAUAUUAAGAUCGUUCAUAGUACCUGGAGCUCCAAAAAACGCGUGCCAUAUCCAGAGGUCAUAGAGAUCGGUUUGUGAUUGAUGUCCUUCAACGUGCCGCCUGAAGAAGAAACUGAGAACACAGGUGAUGCUACGUGUCCUCCAUGCGAUGCAGCAACCUUGGCCGAUUCUUCGCCAUCGGGAACUUUGUGAACCGAACCUCCGUCUUUUGCUUCUCUCCAUCGGAGCUUCCGUGAUAACCUCGCUGUAAAACACCAAAACCUUCUUUACUCCACCUCUGCCUCAACCUUUGCUUGUGCUCAUGGAUCUCUAUCUACCGCCGAUUAUAAUUCUGAGAGAGUUCGAGUUAAUCAACAAGAGAUCUUUUUCUGGACCGUCUUCAGUAUAGGAAAACGCUGGCUCUUCUAAACCUCCAUUGAAUCAGCCGAUAUCAAUCUAACUCAACCGCCUCCUUGUCGCAAAUAUACUUUACUAAAAGCCUAUUCGCUUCUCCAUUAAAGUAAAGAUUGACUCUUCUUGAGAAAGAUUAGGUGUAUAUCGUUGAAUAGAGAGAGAUCAUCCCAAACAAAUGGAAUCUAAUUUUUUUUGCAGAAGAGGAGAGAUCAUCCCAAACAAAUGAAACUAACAGCUUCGAGUUAAGAUUGAAAAGCACUCCAAAAUCUCCAAGGGAAGAAAAGUUCUGCUACCGGAAAAACUAAACUCGAUCUAUAGAUCGAAAACCAUAUUUUACAAAGCAAAAAGAAAACAGGAGGAGUUGGUAACGGGCGACCUUAGCCACCAGCCACCAAAAGCAAAUUCUGAUUACUCGAAGCUAGUGAGAAGUUAGAAAAAAG
rnacentral:lncRNA from 1 species